rnacentral:tmRNA from 1 species
GGGGGUGACUUGGCUUCGACGGGGAUGAGGACGCUCUUGACUGCAUACCGUGGUCUCCGUGUCCACGCUAAAGAAGCGGAAAAACAUCAAGUGCCAACUACAACUACGCACUGGCUGCUUAAUACUCAUUAGGCAACCCGUUCUCAGGUCGCUCAUCCACCGGCGGCCUGAAGAACGUCGCUCAGGUGGAUUAGCGCUCCUUUUCGUCCCGGGGAGGAGCGUGAAUCCCGGCAACGGGAGCACCGGGGCUGGCGGGUGGUGAAUCCUGUUCGGCGGAGUUUCCGCCCGCGAGACGAAACGCCGGACUUCGUAUGGAGACGUCAGGAGGAUCUUCUCUUCGGACCGGGGUUCGACUCCCCGCACCUCCAC